rnacentral:lncRNA from 1 species
AUGAAGAAGAGGCCUAUAGUUGCAGAGAAGGCUGACUUAAGAAGCAGGAGGAAAAAUUAUGGCUUGGUAAGAAAGAGGAAGUUUCGCGCGGAUCGGUUUUGCAUAAGUGCUAUAAACGCGGUUCGGUGGAGCUCGGACAGCGGCAGCACAGCGACCGCGGGGUCCUCCGUCACCGAGAGCAUCGGGUUUACUAGGGGACGUACGCGCAUGGAAGCACGCUAUCCCGAAAGUAUUUUAUUAAGCACAGAUCGACUCACCGCUAGAGCAGGAAAAUCGGCUGUUAUAGGAAAAGAAAGGACCAAAUCCUCGUUUUCUCACUUUAAUUUCUGCUAUCCGCGCGGCAGGGAGGCAUGGCGGCUGCGCACCUCCCGGCCGGUCCCGGCGCGGCCGCGGCCCCUCGCAGCCCAGCGCCGCCCGCGCCCGCGGGAGAGGCGCCGCCCGGCUCGGCACCGCGCGUCCCUUCCGCCCGCCGCCCGGUACCGCGGUGGAACAGCGCUGCCGCUCCUUCGCUGCCUCCCGCGCGGGAAAGCUGAAGAGAAGCGGUUUUCAUUGAGUAAGCUGUCUGCAGAAGCUGUGUCUAUACAGAGGCUCUGUAUUUUAUUCACUGGAGAGAACCAGCAGAAGACCUCAGGCCAUUUUCUAGCUGAUUUAAUUAAAAGAAGCUUCAAAGUUCUAAUGACCAUAGCAAGGAUAGAAAUCUCAGAAGUGAAUGUGCCACAGAAUGGCAGCCCAAAGAGCUUCAGCCAGUGGCACCUCCUGCCAAUGUAGGACAUUGAGGUAUGGAGACGAAGCUCCUCUAUGACUACCAAGUUUGCAUACGGUGCACCAUGGCUCAGCUGUACAAACAGUUGUGCUCUGCAGCUGGUGAGGGAAACGGCCUCCAACAGUGAGCAGAGCAGGACCUCUGGCCACAGAGGAUCCUGGCUGACAUGGCAGGGACCACAGAAAUCAGAAAUAAAAGGCAAAAUGCUUUGAAAACA